rnacentral:rRNA from 1 species
AUACGGAGGAUCCGAGCGUUAUCCGGAUUUAUUGGGUUUAAAGGGUGCGCAGGCGGCCAUUUAAGUCAGCGGUUAAAUCGUGGGGCUCAACCCCAUUCUGCCGUUGAUACUGGGUGGCUUGAUUGCGGGCGAGGUUGGCGGAAUUGGUUGUGUAGGGGGUAAAUGCAUAGAUAUGACGAAGAACACCGAUUGCGUAGGCAGCUGACCAGACCGCAAAUGACGCUCAUGCACGAAAGUGCGGGGAUCGAACAGGAUUAGAUACCCUGGUAGUCCGCACAGUAAACGAUGAAUACUUGUUUUCGGCGAUAUAAUGUCGGAGGCAAAGCGAAAGCGAUAAGUAUUCCACCUGGGGAGUACGCCGGCAACGGUGAAACUCAAAUGAAUUGACGGGG